CUUCUACUCCCUCCGUCCGAAAAUAUUUGUCAUAAAAAAGAAUAAAAAGGAUGUAUCUAGAUGUAUUUGAGUUCUAGAUACAUCGCUUUUCAUCUAUUUUGAUGACAAGUAUUUUCGGACGAAGGGAGUACAUG
rfam:Triticum aestivum genome assembly, contig: Triticum_aestivum_CS42_TGACv1_scaffold_622260_7DS